AGGCAGCAGUGGGGAAUUUUGGACAAUGGGCGAAAGCCUGAUCCAGCAAUGCCGCGUGAGUGAAGAAGGCCUUCGGGUUGUAAAGCUCUUUUGUCAGGGAAGAAACGGUGAUUUCUAAUACAGAUUGCUAAUGACGGUACCUGAAGAAUAAGCACCGGCUAACUACGUGCCAGCAGCCGCGGUAAUACGUAGGGUGCAAGCGUUAAUCGGAAUUACUGGGCGUAAAGCGUGCGCAGGCGGUUAUGUAAGACAGAUGUGAAAUGCCCGGGCUUAACCUGGGAACUGCAUUUGUGACUGCAUGGCUAGAGUUUGGCAGAGGGGGGUAGAAUUCCACGUGUAGCAGUGAAAUGCGUAGAUAUGUGGAGGAACACCGAUGGCGAAGGCAGCCCCCUGGGUCAAGACUGACGCUCAUGCACGAAAGCGUGGGGAGCAAACAGGAUUAGAUACCCUGGUAGUCCACGCCCUAAACGAUGUCUACUAGUUGUCGGGUCUUAAUUGACUUGGUAACGCAGCUAACGCGUGAAGUAGACCGCCUGGGGAGUACGGUCGCAAGAUUAAAACUCAAAGGAAUUGACGGGGACCCGCACAAGCGGUGGAUGAUGUGGAUUAAUUCGAUGCAACGCGAAAAACCUUACCUACCCUUGACAUGGCUGGAAUCCCUGAGAGAUUGGGGAGUGCUCGAAAGAGAAUCAGUACACAGGUGCUGCAUGGCUGUCGUCAGCUCGAGUCGUGAGAUGUUGGGUUAAGUCCCGCAACGAGCGCAAACG
rnacentral:rRNA from 1 species